rnacentral:rRNA from 1 species
UACGUAGGGAGCAAGCGUUGUCCGGAAUCAUUGGGCGUAAAGCGCGCGUAGGUGGCUUCAUAAGUCCGUUGUGAAAGUCAAAGGCUCAACCUUUGAAAGCCGAUGGAUACUGUGAAGCUAGAGUACGGAAGAGGCGAGUGGAAUUCCUGGUGUAGCAGUGAAAUGCGUAGAUAUCAGGAGGAACACCGAUGGCGAAGGCAGGUCUCUGGGCUGACACUGACGCUCAUGCACGAAAGCGUGGGGAGCAAACAGG